GAAGUAUUAGUUUAAGUUAGAACGUGUGGCUGUUAACCGCUAAGUGUGCCCAAGCACAUACUUCG
rnacentral:tRNA from 1 species